rnacentral:rRNA from 1 species
UACGUAGGUCCCGAGCGUUGUCCGGAUUUAUUGGGCGUAAAGCGCGCGCAGGUGGUUUCUUAAGUCUGAUGUGAAAGCCCACGGCUCAACCGUGGAGGGUCAUUGGAAACUGGGAGACUUGAGUGCAGAAGAGGAAAGUGGAAUUCCAUGUGUAGCGGUGAAAUGCGUAGAUAUCGGGAGGAAGGCCGGUGGCGAAGGCGGCCUCCUGGGCCUGCACUGACGCUGAGGCGCGAAAGCGUGGGGAGCAAACAGG